CCCUACUCCAUUUCUGAAACUGCCGAAUCUUCUUCGUCCGACGAUGACAGCGGCGAUUUAAUAUAUUGUGGUCCAUACAUUCCGCAUAUAUCGUAUCCUCUCUCUUCUUUUACGUGUGGUAAAUAGUUGGAAAACAUCGGUGGUAGAGGUAAUGUAAUUGAUAUAUAGCUCCUUACUCUGUAUAUUCAUCCAGCACUUUGCUAAUUGAGUAGUUGUUUACAUCCUUAUUUGACUGACAUAACUCACAUCAUGUUUCGGCAUACUCGCUAAGGUUUUUUCAUCUUGAAU